rnacentral:precursor_RNA from 10 species
GUUAUUUAAUUCACGCAGGUUUAGGUUAUAUGAAACUUGCAAGGAACAGGCCUACGAUUUCGGGAUGUUAUUGCAAGUUUUAAAACAGCCUCUACUAUUUUCAGCUCAAGCAAA